rnacentral:RNase_P_RNA from 1 species
AGGAGGCCGUGGACGGCCGACGGUACCCGCAAGGGCGCUGAGGAAAGUCCCCCCUCCCAACGGAAAGGCGGCCCCGGGCAAUCGGGGGUCCCGAGAGGGACGGCAAGGGCGCAGAAACGACACAGCCCGCGUCGCUAGGAUGAUUCGCCCGGCGAUGACGUUGACGCGGGAUCUGGUGAGACGGCGACUCCCCGCUGGAGCAAGUCCAAGUGGGCGCGAAACCGCGCCAGGUCGGACGCUCAGUCCAAUGCCGUCAGAACAGAAGGGGGCUUACGGCGGCCACCU